UACGUAGGUCCCGAGCGUUGUCCGGAUUUACUGGGCGUAAAGGGAGCGCAGGCGGCGCGCCAAGUCUGAUGUGAAACCCCGGGGCUCAACCCCGGGCAUGCAUUGGAAACUGGCGGGCUGGAGUGCCGGAGAGGUAAGCGGAAUUCCUAGUGUAGCGGUGAAAUGCGUAGAUAUUAGGAGGUACACCAGUGGCGAAGGCGGCUUACUGGACGGCAACUGACGCUGAGGCUCGAAAGCGUGGGGAGCAAAUAGG
rnacentral:rRNA from 1 species